UCAUUAACCUCCCAACCCAUGUGACCUUCUGACGUUGCAAUCGGAGGUCUUGCCCAGAGCCUCUACCUAUGACCUACUGUAGACACGUGCCUGGGCCUCACGAAACUCUGUUAGCRUUGAAUCUGAACCUAUAACUAUAAGUUAAAACUUUCAACAACGGAUCUCUUGGUUCUGGCAUCGAUGAAGAACGCAGCGAAAUGCGAUAAGUAAUGUGAAUUGCAGAAUUCAGUGAAUCAUCGAAUCUUUGAACGCACAUUGCGCCCAUUAGUAUUCUAGUGGGCAUGCCUGUUCGAGCGUCAUUUCAACCCUUAAGCCUCUGUUGCUUAGUGUUGGGAGCCUACGGCACCGUAGCUCCUCAAAGUUAGUGGCGGAGUCGGUUCACACUCUAGACGUAGUAGAUUUUAUCUCGCCUAUCAGUUGGACCGGUCCCUGCCGUAAAACCCCUAAUUUUCAAGGUUGGCCUCGGAUCAGGUAGG
rnacentral:rRNA from 1 species